CAUCAUAACAGAAACUUAUCCCAGCAAAGAUGGGAGAGUUUGAAAGGUUCAAGUAAAAAUCAUUGGAAAAGAGGGACCUAAAUUGCUCCUGAGACCAAUCAAUGAGAUAGUACUUCUCCUUCAGGAAGACUCUGAAUAGAACAUUCAGUUAAACUGGAGUUUAUGUUUGGCAUUCCCUGAAUACCAGACGGGGAGUGUGCUGUUCUACAAGAACAUUUGAUAUUUAGUCUAUUUUAAAGGUUAUAGUUAGGCGCCCUCCUCUGUUCAAAGUUGGGUACUGCAUGCCAGGUUGUAGAGUCGUUAUAUGACAACGUCAUAAUUAUGAGCCAGAUCUCCAGCAGCAGUAGAGAAUUCCAUGCGGUUAUGACUGCUAUCAUUCCCCGAUUUUAGUUGAUCCGAAGGCACAUUCGUUUUACGUUAUUCCAAGACUGAUAGUAAAGCUGGAGAAAAGAUUCCUUGCUUCUGUUGUUAUUGGAAGGCCCUAUCUGUCUGCCAGAUCAAGCACAGCGUUUGAUAAGAGGGCAGAACAGAGUCAAUUUCUGCUGUGCUGCAGUGCAAACACUGAAUUAAAGUGACAGCGAAUGUUUCAUGUUAAAAAUUAACAUGGAUUGACAAGGAAAUGUAGUAAUUACAUAAUAAAUGCAUAUGAUCAAUU